rnacentral:rRNA from 1 species
AUACGGAGGGUGCAAGCGUUAAUCGGAAUUACUGGGCGUAGAGGGCGCGUAGGCGGUCUAUCAAGUCAGGUGUGAAAUCCCACGGCUCAACCGUGGAGGUGCAUCUGAAACUGAUAGACUUGAGUAUGGGAGAGGAAAGUGGAAUUCCCGGUGUAGAGGUGAAAUUCGUAGAUAUCUGGAGGAACACCAGUGGCGAAGGCGACUUUCUGGACCAAUACUGACGCUGAGGCGCGAAAGCGUGGGGAGCAAACAGGAUUAGAAACCCUAGUAGUCC